AUUGAACGCUGGCGGCAUGCUUUACACAUGCAAGUCGAACGGCAGCGCGUGCUUCGGCCUGGCGGCGAGUGGCGAACGGGUGAGUAAUGCAUCGGAACGUGCCCAGUAGUGGGGGAUAGCCCGGCGAAAGCCGGAUUAAUACCGCAUACGACCUGAGGGUGAAAGCGGGGGACCGAAAGGCCUCGCGCUAUUGGAGCGGCCGGUGUCGGAUUAGCGAGUUGGUGGGGUAAAGGCUUACCAAGGCGACGAUCCGUAGCUGGUCUGAGAGGACGACCAGCCACACUGGGACUGAGACACGGCCCAGACUCCUACGGGAGGCAGCAGUGGGGAAUUUUGGACAGUGGGGGCAACCCUGAUCCAGCCAUGCCGCGUGCGGGGAGAAGGCCUUCGGGUUGUAAACCGCUUUUGUUCGGGAAGAAAUCCUCUGGGCUAAUACCCCGGGGGGAUGACGGUACCGGAAGAAUAAGCACCGGCUAACUACGUG
rnacentral:rRNA from 1 species